CGUGUAGGCGGCUUGAUAAGUCAGAUGUGAAAGCCCUGGGCUCAACCCGGGAAGUGCAUUUGAAACUGUCCUGCUUGAGUAGGGAGAGGGAAGUGGAAUUCCUGGUGUAGAGGUGAAAUUCGUAGAUAUCAGGAGGAACACCGGUGGCGAAGGCGACUUCCUGGCCCUAUACUGACGCUGAGACGCGAGAGCGUGGGGAGCAAACAGGAUUAGAUACCCUGGUAGUCCACGCCGUAAACGAUGUUCACUAGGUGUUGGGGGUAUUGACCCCCCUCAGUGCCGGAGCUAACGCAUUAAGUGAACCGCCUGGGGAGUACGGUCGCAAGACUAAA
rnacentral:rRNA from 1 species